rnacentral:misc_RNA from 1 species
ACGGACAAGUGAUAACAGAGUGGAAGUGGGUGGACAUAUCCAGUUUGCGUCUGCGACACAUACGUAUUACGUAGUAAUAGGCUGACAGCUGUGCCUGUGACUGAGUUACUCCCUGCCACCUACGCCACGGGCCACACGACACACCGACUUUAACUUCUUACAGUGCUUCGUUAUGCGCGUGUUUGUGAUUGAGAGGAGACACUGAUUCAUUCCUGUUGGGACGAGUGGCGGCAAGAUUGCUGGUUGAAUUACUUAUACCUGGAGAACUUGUGUGUGUGUGUGUGUGUGUGUACUUUAACAUGACGAGCAUCUCAACUUGCCUGGCUCUGUUUUACCUUCUGCUUACCUGUGCGAGUGCCAUGCCAGGUGGUGACGGCAGUAGAGACCAAAAAAUACAACAGCAGCCACAAAAGGGAAACAAGAGAGGAGGAGGAGGAGGAGAUAGAAGAGGAGAGACUGCAUCAGUGCCUCGUAUUACGUGGGGUCGCGCCAACACUGAGGACGAAGCACACUUCGAGGAGGCUCUGGAAGGCAGGAACUUGACGGCCGUGGUGGGACAGAAAGUUGUGCUUACGUGCGUGGUGAAGCACCUUGGCAAGCAUGUGGUGUCUUGGAUUCGAAGAAGGGACCUCCACGUGUUGACUGUGGGCGUGUAUACAUUUACCAACGAUGACCGCUUCCAGGCUCUGCACGCCGAGGAGAGCGAUCAGUGGUCGCUGGUAAUUAAUCCUGUGACCUUGAGAGAUUCUGGCGUUUAUGAGUGUCAAGCUUCAGGCAAGGACAAGAAGUACCUCCUGUAUAACUUAAUAGUGGAAGUCCAGCAGGCGAGGAUUAACGGCCCGACGGAGGUGUACGUGCAGAGAGGUUCCACCAUUCGCCUCACCUGUACUCUUAAUACGCAUUCGGACCAUGUCGGCGGCGUCACCUGGUUCCACGACGCCCAACCCCUUGAUUACGACUCGCCCAGGGGCGGCGUGAGCGUGGAGAUCGAGAAGACCCCAUUCUACACCACCUCCAAACUGUUCAUCACUCGAGCCACCAAGAAGGACGUGGGAAAUUAUACUUGUAUGCCGCAUUUCGCUGAUUCCACCUCCGUUCAGGUCCUCGUGGUCAACGGGGAUGAGCCGGCGGCGGUGCACACGUCAGGGUCCUCCACGAUGCACAACGGUUCCCUAGGUGCUGGCGUCCCUGGGAUGUUGGUGAGCCGCGCCACAAUACCUGGCAGACGCGGAGAUGGCCCCGGCAGAUGGCUUUUGGAGUGGAGCCCUCUGUCAUCGCUCUCAUUAUCAGUACUCUAUUAUUUCAUCAUUGCAGUGUAAUCGACGUGACUUGUGACUUGGCGCUGGACUUUAUUUUUCAUUGCCAAUCAUCAGUGUUACCCAGUGUUGCUGUUCCAGUGUUGGUAAAGGGACGCAAGCCAAGCAAGAGGCAAACAAGACACAUAAAAGAUGAUGAGAAUCACGAAACUGUCCAUUUAUUGCAUAAGGUUUGAAAAGUCUUCUUUCCUUU